GACGAACGCUGGCGGCGUGCUUAACACAUGCAAGUCGAACGGAAAGGCCCUGCUUUUGUGGGGUGCUCGAGUGGCGAACGGGUGAGUAACACGUGAGUAACCUGCCCUUGACUUUGGGAUAACUUCAGGAAACUGGGGCUAAUACCGCAUAGGAGCUCCUGCUGCAUGGUGGGGGUUGGAAAGUUUCGGCGGUUGUGGAUGGAUUCGCGGCUUAUCAGCUUGUUGGUGGGGUAGUGGCUUACGAAGGCUUUGACGGGUAGCCGGCCUGAGAGCGUGACCGGGCACAUGGGUACUGAGAGACGCACCAGUCUCGUACGGGAGGCAGCAGUGGGGAAUAUUGCAGAAUGGCCGGAAGCCUGAUGCAGCAACGCCGCGUGCGGGAUAACGGCCUUCGGGUUGUAAACCGCUUUCGCCUGUGACGUAGCGGGAGUGACGGUAAUGGGUAAAGAAGCACCGGCUAACUACGUG
rnacentral:rRNA from 1 species